rnacentral:rRNA from 1 species
CCUACGGUGGGCUGCAGUGGGGGAUAUUGCACAAUGGGGGAAACCCUGAUGCAGCGACGCCGCGUGUAGGAAGACGGUCCUCUGGAUUGUAAACUACUGUCCCCAGGGACGAAGAUGACGGUACCUGGGGAGGAAGCUCCGGCUAACUACGUGCCAGCAGCCGCGGUAAUACGUAGGGAGCGAGCGUUGUCCGGAAUUACUGGGUGUAAAGGGAGCGUAGGCGGGGAUGCAAGUUGGGUGUUAAAUCUACCGGCUCAACUGGUAGUCGAACUCAAAACUGCAGCUCUUGAGUGAAGUAGAGGCAGGCGGAAGUCCUAGUGUAGCGGUGAAAUGCGUAGAUAUUAGGAGGAACACCAGUGGCGAAGGCGGCCUGCUGGGCUUUUACUGACGCUGAGGCUCGAAAGUGUGGGGAGCAAACAGGAUUAGAUACCCGGGUAGUC